UGCCUUUGUCUUUUUGUCUGAUUUUCAAAUACUUGUUUGAGUCAAAUCAAAGUUUGUAAUGUUGCGAUUCACCUCGUAGCUGGUUGGUUUAGUUCAUGGCUUAUAACGCUUAAAAAAAUCUCUAUGGGAAAAAUUAAUGGAAAAAAAAUUGUGAGAAUGUGGGUGGACACUGUUGCAGUCUAUAAUGGUCUGGCAGACAGUUCAUGUGAGGCUAAUGGUGCAGGUGUUUAGCUAGGUCUCUUUUCAAAGGCAUUGGGAUUGGUGCGAAACAUUUAAAUACCACCAAAAUAUUCAAGAUGAAAGAAAAUCGUAAGAGUUUCAACAACAUGAAGCAUCGUGAGCAGGGGAUCACUUUGACGGCGAGAUGUGGGUGGAUGUGUCUGUGUUUGCGCUCACAGAGCCUGCGUGGUGUCACCGAGGUUUUGGAAUCCGCCUCAGCGCUGGGGUGGGCUGGAAAAGAUGGAGAGAGAGAGAGAGAGGGAGGGAGGAAAACAUGCUGGCAGGCUCUUCACAGACAGCUGCAGACUAGUGGGCGACCCGGUGAGAGUGUCCUAAACCUGUGCCAACGGAAGGGAGAAAAAAACAGGAUGGCAAAACACAGUAAAACUGAUCUAUGCACAGAUGCACACUUCCUUUAAGGCAUCAGAUUACAUCAAUCUCACAUUCCCUGCUUUCUAAAAAUUAUUACACUGUAAAAUAUUUUGUUACAUUUUCUUUUUUGGGCUUGUAAAGUGCAUGUAAUGCCAUUUUAGACAGACUGUAUAUUUUAUAUAACUUGUAAAAUGUUGAUAUACCAGCCUACGUGAACCACAAUAAUCUGCUUGACACCUUUAAAAUGUACUGAUAACCACCAUAAUAAUUAGCAUUAAUAAUCAUUAAAUGUUUUUUUUUUUCAGCGCCUGUGGCCAUUAAUCAAUUAGACACAGAUGGUGCACAGCAUUAUCCACAAUACAAAACACCACAGAAGUAGACAUCAUAUGACAUUAGAAUGAUACAACAAACAUGAACUAAGUAACAUAAAAUACAGCAAAGCAAUGCACAAGAAUAAUUAAUAAGUAACAUUUAUAACCUUGAUUAUACAGUACCGGCGGAUCUCAAACUGUGGUACACAGAUUGAUAUAAUUGAAAAAAAGCACCAACAUUGAAUUAACUGACUGAUUAAUCAACUCGUAACAAUAAAUACAUUGAUUGUGUUAACCUUAA